AUGAACGCUGACAGAAUGCUUAACACAUGCAAGUCAUUGGCGAAGCUGCGCUUGCGCAGUCUAGCCAAGGCGGACGGGUGAGUAACGCGUAAGGAACUUGCCCUGCCGACAGGGAUAACAGACGGAAACGACUGAUAACACCUGGUAUUGUCAGGCUGGCGCAUGCCGGCCUGAUGAAAGGAGACGCUGCAGGAGAGCCUUGCGUCCUAUUAGCUAGUUGGUGGGGUAACGGCCCACCAAGGCGAUGAUAGGUAGCCGGCCUGAGAGGGUGAACGGCCACAAGGGGACUGAGAUACGGCCCUUACUCCGACGGGAGGCAGCAGUGGGGAAUAGUGGACAAUGGGGGCAACCCUGAUCAAGCAAUUCUGUGUGCACGAAGAAGGUUUUCGGAGUGUAAAGUGCUUUCAGCAGGGAAGAAGAAAGUGACGGUACCUGCAGAAGAAGCGACGGCUAAAUACGUG
rnacentral:rRNA from 1 species